ACACAUUCAUCAUCAAUCUGGUGAACAGCUAGCGCAAAGAGGAGGUGGUGAUGGGGUCGCCUGACCCCCUCCCUGCAGCAUUUCUUAUUUCUUUCUUUCCCAUCCAUCUUUCCUUGACACAAGGUGUUGGCCAUUUGUGGUUUCGUGGAAAAAGAGGGGUCGGCCGACCCUGACAAAGUGCCCUCUGCACUUGUCCUCUCUUCAAUCCACUCACUCAUUCACUCACAACCACUUUCCUCUACUAGCAACUCAAGAAAAUCAUCAACACUCUUCCUUUCACUUUCCCUAUUGCUCAAGUGUUCACCCGUCGAGAAAUCAAGAGAGGUAAUCAGCCGGUAAGAAGAGUUAAAAUCUAAACUAACCUCUCUGGUGGAAGUGGUGUUCGUUAUUUUCUUGAUCUAGCAUGAAGAAUCCACUCAAGAACAUAGGGAAGAAAGUGCGUGGAGCGUUUAGCAGAAGCUCAUCAAGGCGCUCCCAUGGCACCAUGAGUUCGGUAGAAGAGUACUCCUCUCAUCAGGGACUUCCCUCUGAGACUCAUGAGGAGCAAGAGCAUGAGGCCAUGCCACAGCAAACACCACCUAAUGAAGAAGCAGCACCUCUACGGAUGCAAGAUAUAGAGACCGGACUUUUGCUCACCGUAGAAGAAAUGGAGAAGCUUAACCAUCUACGCCACCGUGAAUUCAAGCAUACCAAUGUAAUUGACCCUAAAUUCCUCAAAGACACAGGUAUGUAUGAGGAAUUCUUUGAUGUCUUUGCUGCAAUAGGAUGGGGUGAAUUUUGGGACUUUUCGGAACACCUAGGUAGCAAGAUUCUCACUCUAGAAUUUUUGAGCACCGUAAGGGUAACCGAAACAACCAUUUACUUUCGCCUAAGAAACCAAGAUUAUGAUUUCACAUGGGACCAUCUAGCUGCAUGUUUAGGCUUUUAUGAAUUUUAAAACCAACGUAGAAGUUGCCACAAGGGGUUUUAAUAGACAAGAAUUUUGGCAUGAAAUAACUGGGGAGAAUCUAAUUGGAAAUACUUACCCACGUACUAGCCAUAUCUGCCAUCCCACACUACGGUUCAUGCACAAAUGGAUAGGCAUCACUCUAUUCCCUAGAGAUGACAUUCGGAUUGUGCGGGAAAUUGAUAAUAGAAUUCUAUAUGCCAUGGUGAAUAGAAUUCGUAUUGCACCGGUAAAAGCCAUGGUACAUCAUUGGAUCACUAUAGCACGGAAGAAUGACCCAAUUGAGUUCACCUCUAUAAUUACAAAAUUGUAUGAUUACAUUUUGAUCCUUGAUGACACCAUCCAGUACAUACCCACUCCUAGAACUGUGUUAGGAAAAUAUCAUUUCAUUCAAGCAAAAGUAAUUACGCGUGGCCCCAAUGACACAAUUGAAUUUAUAUUGCGUAAAUCAAAUGCAAGACUCAUUUUGCCACAACCAGAGUUAAAAUUAUACGGGGGCCACCCGUUAAUGCCUAAUGUUCCUGGAGUUGGAGGACGUAGAAGUUUUGCAGGGCCAUUCACACGUGGACAGUCACGAGCUGAACAGCAAGAUGAUUCAGAUAAUGAGGGCACUUCCAAUGCCAUGCACACCUCCGGGACGGGGAGGAGACGUAGUGCCCGGUUGUCUCUUUCUUCUUCGCAGGAGAUUGGAAACCGCAGUCACCGUCAUGACAUGGAGCUACUCAGAUCAGGUAUGGCUACAUUGCGUACUAACCAUGAAGCCAUUCACACUGCCACUGUGGAAACCCAACAACAAAUCCAAAAUUUUGAGGAGAGCAGCAAUAGAAACUGGUGCCAAGCCUACACAUCAUAUCACCUGCCCGUACCACCAUACAUUCCUCAACCACCACAUGCAUAUCCACCUCCUCCUGCACAAUAUCCUCCACAGCAAUAUCCUCCACCAUAUCCACCAUAUCCAUCGUAUCCACCCCAGUGAGGAAGGACAAGCUUGGGGGAGAUCCUCUCCCCCACCAAGGUAAGUAUUCUAUCCUAUUUAUUUCCAUGCAUUUUAUCAUUCCUGCUCUAAAAAAAAAAUUAAAAAAAAUUAGCAUUUCCCUUUAGCAUAUAUGCUUCAUGUAUGUCUAUAUCCCUCAUGGAAAUGAUGACUAGUUGCUUGUUAAUGUUUCUCUAGUACCUAGUAUACAACUUAGUAUUUCUCCAAGUAUGGAUCACUUAGCUCACUUAAACUGCCAUGAACCUGAAAACUUUGUGGGUUGCAAGUGCUAGAACUAAGUCUAAGUUGUUGUGGGACAUGAGAUAGUGAGACAAGAGCUGCUAUAAUAUUAUUCUAAGCAUGCAUGAUUAUCAGAGAUUUAUUCUUAAAAUGAUCAAAACCUUAAUUGUUCCUCAAGGGUGAUGAAUUCCUACCACAGCUAUAUCUACUUUACAUGAUUGCAACCUUUCCACAUAAGCUAUUUGCUUUGUGUUGAGUGUCGUCAAGUCUUGUUGACCCCUGUUAAGAGACUUUUCAUGCUCCUAAGAUCAAGAUCACGUACACACCACAUAUAUAUAUGCUGCUUCUACACUGGAAGUACGCAACCACAUGUAUUUCGCAUCCACUAAAUAGGUUGCUCCAUACUCUAAAUGUUAGGAUAUCUCUCUCUAAGCAUUAUUUGGUAAAUGAGACAUCAAAAGCCUAGGCAAAAUGAAAUAAAAAGAUGGACAUGUGCAAGUCCACAAAAAAAAAUUGAGCACAUAAAGCUCGAAGAAAAAGAAAAUGCUAGCCAUGUCACAAUAUAUAAGUAGAGAGAGUGUAGCAAAUAAAGGAGCAACCUAGUCCACCAUAUAUCACACUUGCACAUCUUGAUCUGGGAGUAUGACACUUCUCUUCAGGGAUCCGAGCUUUGACUUCGCAACACAUGCAAAGUAAGUAUGCUAUCUCCUUUCAUCCCUACCUUAAGCUCCACAUAAGCCUUUUAGAAAUAGGAUGAAAUAGAGAAGGCAACUCUAUCAUAUGCCUUGGUGAGGAAUUAUACAUCAUUUGAGUGACAUGAGAGAACCAUAUGAGGAACAUUUAAGUUUUCUUUUGAAAAUAUCACAAAACCUCUGAUAUGAAACUUGCUAAGAAUGAGAAAGUUAGUGCUCAAGUCAAACUGUUCUGUCUUUCAACCACCUAAGAAAAAGGAAAAGCCAUAAGCCCC
rnacentral:lncRNA from 1 species